CUUUUGUUCCGUAUAAAAUGUAUUUUUUUAAUAAAAAAAAUUGACGAAUUUAUGCAUUAUUCGUUGUUAAAUAAUCUCAAAUUUAUGUUAACCUUUUGGUGCGCUAACAUUUGUACAGCUUGUUUACUUCUUUUCUUAAUAUUUAAAUUUUUUUUUGUAGUGGGAUUUUUGUUGAUAGCAUUAUGAAUUAUUUAAUUGUAUUGUGGUUCUGGAAUAUAGAAAUUUGCGUGGAUUGGUCAGGAUGGACUAACAAAUUGUAGGGAGUGAAAUUCAGCUGAUUUUGAGAGAUGUUUUUCUAGAUCUUAUUGUGCAGUUGUGCUUUGGGAUGAUGGUUUGUUGGCUUGUAGUGUGGCUGCUGAAAUGGCAGUAGUUUUUAUGGUUGGAAGUGAAACUGUAAAUAGCCUUGAGCAUUGGUGGAAAUGAAAAGCAUAGUGGAGUUUUGGAGUUUUAGGUGAUUUAUUUCGGCAUCAUCUAAUGCAUGCUAGAUAUGACUAUGUAGGCUUGUAAUGAUUGUAGAGAUGAUUGCAAUUUCUAUCCUCUAAUUCUAACAGUCUGAGGCUGCUUUGUUUUUCAUCUGAAGCUAUGGUGCUAAAAACUUAAGAAAUCUUGAGUUGAAUUUUAUUUAUCAUAGGUCCUCUACCACUAUGGGAAUGAUUAGAACCGGAUAAUGCUUUUUUGUUGUAUCUUCUUUGUUGAAUCUUAUAUUGAGGUUAGCACGUCUUCUAUAGGUUUGAGAAUAGUUUAUAAACAUUAUGGUAAAAAGAUGAAAUCUCUGAAUCUCUGAUACUCUGCAAUUUGCUUGUUGGCCAUCUUGAUAUUUAUCUCUUUGAAACUAUUUUACUUUUAUUCUUAUUCAUUCCUCUUUUAUUUUGGGGGGAAAGGGUAGUUGAGGUUAUUAUACCAUAUAUAUACAUCAUGCCUCUUUGAAGUAGAAUUUUUUCCACUUUAUAGUUUAUAAUGGUUUUUUGUACUUGACUAUUGAAAAUACACCAAUUUUUGUCCUCAUUAGGCUUUCCAUCAUGUUUGGAUGGAAAAUGGCACGUGUACAGUAUGUGACGAAAUAGUGAGGGUCUAAUAGAUGACCUCCUUCCCAAUUUGUAUAAAAACUAAAAAUAAAGAAAGGUGGUCACCAUUGGUGGCCCUGCACAUGGUUGGUCAAAAGCUUUUAAUUUUAAUUUUUAUUCCCACCUUAUGGUCAUCUGUUGGAGUAAAGAGCUGAUAAAGAAGAAACAAACACAGAUGACCGGAUUACAGUGAAUGAAACCAACAAGGAUACAAAGAGUACCCUCGAGCAGGGAUAAUUCCUUGCUCAGCUACAAUAUCUACUAUUUCCUCAGAAUUAUUUGAUGCCCUCCGCAAUAGGGGAGGCUCCUUAUUUGUACUCUAAUACCGUGUAGAAAUUAAGUAAACAAUACCGAUUAAGCAAUCUGUCUUCACCUGAUUUCUGCAUCCAUCCCAUGACUUACGCUUCAUUUGUGUCCUGCAAUUCUGGUGCGUGAUUGACUGGCUGAUUUCCCUUUCCAUUUGUGCCCUGAUUUCCUUUCUUUCUUCGUGAAUAAACUAUCCAACUUUUGGUGCCUUAUCAUCAUGGCUGUUGGAUCUUUUAGCCAUAGCCUUUAGGAGGAAGCUAUUGGCCAUGGCUAAAUGAUCUUGCUGUGGCCAAGGAUGGUGGUCACCUCUUUUCUAUUCGUUUUAAUUAGGAAGAAUGCAUGCCUAAAUGAUGGCCAAAAGUUUGUUUUUGAAAUUAACCAAAAACAUUAUGAGAGGACUCAAAUUGGUUGAUUUUCAAUAGGGAAGUGCCUUAGAUACAAAAGUCACUAUAGUAAAGGAACCUGAAGUGGUAUAAAUCUCUACCGAAGUACUAUCCACUAUUUAAAAAAAAAGAGUACUAUCCACUAUUGUACUUGAUUUGUAUGAGCACCUUGGCAUGUUUGUAGAUUGAGCUCUGUAUACUAGUGAUUUCUACUAACAAGUUCCAGCCCAGUGAAGUAUUGAAUUUAUAGUAAGCUAAAUUGCAAACUUUGCAUUUGCUUCGUGAGAUUUCAGAAAUUAAUACAGCCAUGUAGUGGUGUAUGUCAUUGCAACGAGUCAGGAUGAUAAAUAACUACUACGUAUAUAUUAGCUCAGUGUCUUAUAGGCUGUUUAAUAAAA